AGUCGAACGGGAAUCUUCGGAUUCUAGUGGCGGACGGGUGAGUAACGCGUAAGAAUCUAACUUCAGGACGGGGACAACAGUUGGAAACGACUGCUAAUACCCGAUGUGCCGCAAGGUGAAAACUAAUUGGCCUGAAGAAGAGCUUGCGUCUGAUUAGCUAGUUGGUGGGGUAAGAGCCUACCAAGGCGACGAUCAGUAGCUGGUCUGAGAGGAUGAGCAGCCACACUGGGACUGAGACACGGCCCAGACUCCUACGGGAGGCAGCAGUGGGGAAUUUUCCGCAAUGGGCGAAAGCCUGACGGAGCAACGCCGCGUGAGGGAGGAAGGUCUUUGGAUUGUAAACCUCUUUUCUCAAGGAAGAAGUUCUGACGGUACUUGAGGAAUCAGCCUCGGCUAACUCCGUGCCAGCAGCCGCGGUAAUACGGGGGAGGCAAGCGUUAUCCGGUAUUAUUGGGCGUAAAGCGUCCGCAGGUGGUCAGCCAAGUCUGCCGUCAAAUCAGGUUGCUUAACGACCUAAAGGCGGUGGAAACUGGCAGACUAGAGAGCAGUAGGGGUAGCAGGAAUUCCCAGUGUAGCGGUGAAAUGCGUAGAGAUUGGGAAGAACAUCGGUGGCGAAAGCGUGCUACUGGGCUGUAUCUGACACUCAGGGACGAAAGCUAGGGGAGCGAAAGGGAUUAGAUACCCCUGUAGUCCUAGCCGUAAACGAUGGAUACUAGGCGUGGCUUGUAUCGACCCGAGCCGUGCCGAAGCUAACGCGUUAAGUAUCCCGCCUGGGGAGUACGCACGCAAGUGUGAAACUCAAAGGAAUUGACGGGGGCCCGCACAAGCGGUGGAGUAUGUGGUUUAAUUCGAUGCAACGCGAAGAACCUUACCAAGACUUGACAUGUCGCGAACCCNGGNGAAAGCUGGGGGUGCCUUCNGGAGCGCGAACACNGNNGNGCAUGGNUGUCGUCAGCUCGUGUCGUGAGAUGU
rnacentral:rRNA from 1 species